rnacentral:lncRNA from 1 species
CUACGACCUCUUUACAACUCUUACAUGUAUGCCUUUCCUUCAAAAUAUGAAGCCAUCUUUUUUCCCUAUAUCAUAUACAUUAAAUCAUUUGCUCAAAGUUUAACGGAUAUACAUUAUUGUUGUAAAAUAUUUUUACAUCAACAUCUGAACAAAACUCAUGCACUCAUGCCAUUACUAUUUAAGUACAAAAUGUUUGAUUUUUUUUUAUUUUUUAAGAAGUUAAACUAACUCACCUGCAUAGACUUUGAUCACACUCCAGUCCCAAAAUAUUUGAUUCUUAUCAAAGGUCCCUCUAAAUUUAGUUCAUCCUUACAUUGCAUGUCUCUUUUUUUUUUUUCAUUGAUUAAUUUAUUUUCCUAAAAAUAAUUUUGUUGAAAAUGCAAUAUAUGUAUAACUGAAAACAAAAUUAUUUGAGUUAAUUAAUUACCAGAAUCAAUGGCUUGAUGCUUUCAACGCUAAAAACAGAGUCAUCCUCUUGUUGACAAUGAUCAAGCAAAACAUCCAAGAAAUCACCAGCAACCACGCCACCAUCAUGCGAAUUACUAUUUCUAUCUUCAACACGUUUUUGAAUCAUACGAUCAAAAAUCUCAUGCAAUCUUACAUAUGAAACCUUAACGUGUCUCUUCACACCUUGCAGAUCAAACAUCUUCACCACUGGAAAAUAAUCAGAAACAUUCACUUUCCCAGCAUCUUCCAUUAUCCUCCAUACAAGCUCUUUAAACUCACCAGCACUCUCGAACUCCGAAUCAACAAGGUCCUCUGAGAACACCGUGUUGGAAACCAAGUUCAACAUGGUGGCGAAAGCAAGUUCACCUAUGUCAACGGUUGUUUUCUCUGCUGCUUUUUUGUGAAGGUGUUGGACUAGUUGCUCAACUUUCCGGUGACGGAGAUGUUGGAGAAGGUCAAGGCGGUGGGUGGUGAAUAUUUGUGUGGUGCAGAUACGUCUACGGUUACGCCACCGUGAGUCGGCAUGGGACCAUGCGAGUGUGUCGUUGACGUUGGGUUGAGCAGCAACUGAUUCAGGGAUAGGGCGGUUGGCGAAGGAUUGGUCGUUUUUUUGGAGGAUUUCUUGGGCGGUUUUCGGGGAGGAAGCAACGGUGACGGUGACGGAGCCGAAGCGGAGGGACAUGAUGGGGCCAUAGGUUU